GGUCCGUUGUGUGAGCAGUCUGCUAUGGUGCUGAGUUCCCGGGUAGAGCCGACCGAGCCGAGGCGGUCGCGGCCAUGAAGGGUUCGAUUCAUCUCGUGGACGAAGUGUAUUGGCUUGGGGCUGCUAGGUUAACGACCUUUUACAAAGUGUCAAAGAUUUACUGCGGACGAUUGAAAAGAGCGUCAAGUAGAGAAAAUCAGCAAGUGUUUUGUCCAAGUCCUUCAUUGUAUUAGUCAAGGAGUAGAGGCGGGUGCUACCUCUAUGUGGGCUUCAUGCUGUGGACUGCUGAAUGAAGUCAUGGG
rnacentral:lncRNA from 1 species